UACGUAGGGACCGAGCGUUGUCCGGAAUCAUUGGGCGUAAAGGGCUCGUAGGCGGUCUGUCACGUCGGGAGUGAAAACUCGGGGCUUAACCCCGAGCCUGCUUCCGAUACGGCAGACUAGAGGUAUGCAGGGGAGAAUGGAAUUCCUGGUGUAGCGGUGAAAUGCGUAGAUAUCUGGAGGAACACCGGUGGCGAAGGCGGCAUCCUGGACCGGCAUUGACGCUGAGGCGCGAAAGCCAGGG
rnacentral:rRNA from 1 species